rnacentral:rRNA from 1 species
GCCGGUUGUAAACACCGGUUCCCGUACGAUUAUUUAAGUUAAGCAACGUCAAGCUUGGUCAGUACCUAGAUGGGUGACAGCUUGGGAAUGCCAAGUACUGUAAG